AAAAAAAAACAUUUAAGUGAACGAUGAAGAUAGAAUUUAAGAAAACAUUCCUAUUUCUUUAAAAUUUUCAAAAAACUUUUCAAAAUGUGGGUGAGGAUCAUCUUCCAUCAGCAGAGCCAAAUCGGUAUCCGCUACGGUGUAGCCGAAGCCGGUCAUAUCGAUGAACAGUUGCAGAACCAGCAUCGUAGCUUCAUCUUUCCGUUCUUGGAAAAGCUCCCGCCAUGAAUGGUAGAUGGUCUACGGAAAUGGUGAAGCGGGCGGAUGAUGAAAACACAGCCAAAAAUGCAACAGGAAAACAACAUACCUUGCCAUUUUUCGCUUUGGAGCAAAGCGCAUUGAAGAGACCGUCCUCCAUUUGCGGCACAGAAUUGACUAACAAAUGGGGGGACGCGCUUGUAAUGACCCAAACGGCCCGUUCAAUCGUGUCCCAACGCGUUGACGUUUACCAAAUGACAGCGCACACUGCUGCUGUGCGGAAAUUUCCGCCCAAC